UCUGAAUCUGCGAACGGCUCCGCAAACCAGUUGUAAACUAUAGCAAGCACGCCUGGAUCCGGGUUUCACGACCCGGGUUCAGGUAAUACGGAUACCCCUGGUAAUUCUGAGGCUAAUACGAGAACGUAACCCCUGGUCGACCGGGCAACCGGGAAGCUGGGGAACGUGCGACUAUACACGAAGAUACCGGGAUGGGGCGCACGUUCAGACCGCGCUACAAAGGAUGGAGUCGUCGACCCUCGGGUAGGUGGCUUCACCCCAGCGGCUCUUGCGUUGUGCUUCUGACCUAUCAACUAGAUGGCAGCGUAACGGACAUGCUAUGGUACAACGGUACAG
rnacentral:rRNA from 1 species